rnacentral:rRNA from 1 species
GGGAUUAGCUUGUUGGUGAGGUAAUGGCUCACCAAGGCAACGAUCCCUAGCUGGUCUGAGAGGAUGAUCAGCCACACUGGAACUGAGACACGGUCCAGACUCCUACGGGAGGCAGCAGUGGGGAAUAUUGCACAAUGGGGGAAACCCUGAUGCAGCCAUGCCGCGUGUAUGAMGMAGGCCUUCGGGUUGUAAAUACUUUCAGUAAGGAGGAAGCAGUGUCCKUGUAGCGGCAUGUUUGACKUCCUACAGAAGARCACCGGCUAMUCCGUGCCAGGCAGCGGGUAUACGGAGGGUGCGAGCGUUAAAUCGGAUUACUGGGCGUAAAGCGCAUGCCGGCGGUCUUUWUGCARGAUGUGAAAGCCCGGGGCUCAACCUCGGAACAGCAUUUUGAACUKGCAGAMUAGAGUCKGUAGAGGGGGGUAGAAUUUCAGGUGUAGCGKUGAAAYGCGUAGAGAUCUGAAGGAAUACCGGUGGCGAMGGCGGCCCCCUKGACAAAGACUGACGCUCAGAUGCGAAAGCGUGGGSAGCAAACAGGAUUAGAUACCCUGGUAGUCCACGCCGUAAACGAUGUCUACUUGGAGGUUGUCGCCUUGAGCCGUGGCUUUCGGAGCUAACGCGUUAAGUAGACCGSCUGGGGAGUACGGUCGCAAGAUUAAAACUCAAAUGAAUUGACGGGGGCCCGCACAAGCGGUGGAGCAUGUGGUU